rnacentral:tRNA from 12 species
UCCCCGGUGGCUCAAUCGGCAGAGCGGGUGACUGUUAAUCACUAGGUUGGCGGUUCAAGUCCGUCCCGGGGAGCCA